AACAGGAUUAGAUACCCUGGUAGUCCACGCCGUAAACGAUGUCUACUAGCUGUUCGUGGUCUUGUACUGUGAGUAGCGCAGCUAACGCACUAAGUAGACCGCCUGGGGAGUACGGUCGCAAGAUUAAAACUCAAAUGAAUUGACGGGGGCCCGCACAAGCGGUGGAGCAUGUGGUUUAAUUCGACGCAACGCGAAGAACCUUACCUACUCUUGACAUCUAGCGAAGAUUGUAGAGAUACGAUUGUGCCUUCGGGAACGCUAAGACAGGUGCUGCAUGGCUGUCGUCAGCUCGUGUUGUGAAAUGUUGGGUUAAGUCCCGCAACGAGCGCAACCCUUAUCCUUAGUUGCCAGCACGUAAUGGUGGGAACUCUAGGGAGACUGCCGGUGAUAAACCGGAGGAAGGUGGGGACGACGUCAAGUCAUCAUGGCCCUUACGAGUAGGGCUACACACGUGCUACAAUGGUAUGUACAGAGGGAGGCAAGCUGGCGACAGUGAGCGGAUCUCUUAAAGCAUAUCGUAGUCCGGAUCGCAGUCUGCAACUCGACUGCGUGAAGUCGGAAUCGCUAGUAAUCGCAAAUCAGAAUGUUGCGGUGAAUACGUUCCCGGGCCUUGUACACACCGCCCGUCACACCAUGGGAGUGGGUUGCAAAAGAAGUAGGUAGCUUAACCUUCGGGAGGGCGCUUACCACUUUGUGAUUCAUGACUGGGGUGAAGUCGUAACAAGGUAACC
rnacentral:rRNA from 1 species